rnacentral:lncRNA from 1 species
AAUUAAUCGAAUGGUUUAAGCUAUAGGUUUUAUGCCAAAAUAUUCAAAUAAAUGGUUCAAGUUAGGGGUUUUUUAAAAAAAAACAUUUGAAGUAUUGGAUGGAUCCUUACUUCAAUCUGAGCAGUUUUGGAGUUAACAGCUUGUUUUGGAUACUCUCUAAUACUGCUUUUCGAAAUAGAGUUGUUAUAGGUGCUACUGGUGUCGACCGAUAGUAGCUAGGUUAAAAAUUGAAACUGUUUCAAUCUUAAAACUUGUAAAUAAUAGUGUUUAAGAUUGUUUUUGGUUUCAUGUCAGCAUCUAUUUUGACAAAGCUGACUCUGUUUCCGGCUGAAUUUGUUUUGAAAUUGCUUCAGUUCGCCAUUUCAAUAUAAGCAACUGCUAAACUUGCAAAGACUCGUAAAGAUGGUAACAACAGCUGAAGUUAUUCUGAAUAAUCGCAUUUUUACAGAAGCUGUAUUUAUUUCAAGCAAAACAGUUUUGACAGAGCUAAAUUGGUCUCAAGCAAUCCGUAUCUACAAAUGCGGAAUUAGAAUUGCAGCAAAACCAAAAUGAUAAAUAUUUUUGCUUUUUGACGUAGAAUCAUUGGGCAUACAUUUCACAGUUGGAGAAAAAUUGCAUAAUAGUAAAGUCGCAAAAUCGUAAUGAGAAUUGGUUCACAAAUAAAAGAUAAUUUUAAUUUCUAAAAUUUCUCCUUCAUAAAGUUUUGAGUCAUCAUCCUACUCGCUUUCUUCAUUAAUUACCAUCGCUGCCAUCAUCAACAUGCAUCUUUGAUGCAUCAGGAUUUACCUGAAGUGAGUGAGCAAAAAAAGUCCUCCUUUAAUUAAGGGACCUUGCAAAAAAAAAGAAGAAAAAAACAAGAGGUCACCCUCCUCCUCAAACACCUUCAUCUUCAUUGCGUUUUUAUUCUUUUCCUCCUUUCCAGGCACGAGAGAGGAAAAAAAAAAAAAAAAAAAAAAACAACAACAACAAAGGGAGCAUGCUUUUCUGCCUCUUCAUCUGAAAAUGGACACCGAAAUAAAAAGAUCCAAAUAUUUUUAUAAAUUGUACAAUUAGGUAAAGAUUGAUCAUUGACCCAUGGGGUGUAUUUCACUGGUUAGGUUGAUGUGAUUAGUAAAAUACACUUUAUUUUUAUAAAUUGUACAAUUAGGUAAAGAUUGAUCAUUGACCCAUGGGGUGUAUUUCACCAGUUACAUUGAUGUUAUUAGUAAAAUACACUUUAUUUUUAAAUAGAUGGGGUGUAUAUUCUAUACCCAAUGAAUGUAUAAGUAAGAGUUUUCAAAAAAGAAAAAAAAGAAAAAAAAAAGGCAUUGGCGCGUGCGUUCUCUCGAAGCUCCUCUGGAACCAUCAGCNAAUAAAAAUUAAUAUAUUUUUCACCAAUGGGAGUCUAACGUAAAAAAAAAAAAGAAAAAGAAAAAGAAAAUGAUAGUAUAAAGAGGUGUAAAUUAAGAAAAUAAUUUUUUUAUGGCUAUUAAGAAAAUCAGUGCUAAUUAAAAAAGACAAUUUCGAAUUGUGGUGCAUUGCUGAAGGGGUCUCCAUACUUUUUUUUUUCCUUUUUUUUGGGGCAAUCAAAAUUUAUACAUAUCAAUUGCUCAAAUAUAAUAGUAUCUAAGAAUAAUAUCGUGGGGUGAAAAUCGUUUUGAUAUUACUCAAUCUAAUUGGACUCUGAAGCCAAAGAUUAUCGGAUUUGGAUUGAAAUUUUACUAUCCAUUACGGACUCAAAUUUAGAUUUAGAUCCGAAAUUUGAAAUUCUUUUGGGUUCAAAUUAAGAUUCACUAUUCCUUUUCCAAUUCGGAUUCAAAAUUAUUCGAAACAAAAACUGAUUUUGACUGCUUUUUUAAUUUCUUAAGUAAUGCCAUUUAAGCAUCUUUCAGAAAUCUCAAACAUCUUCAUUGCAUUUUCUUCACUUGGAAGAGAAAAUAAUAAUAAUAAUAAUAAUAAUAAUAAUAAUAAUAGUAAUAAUAAUAAUAAGUCCCUCCUUUUCCACCUUUUCAUUUGAAAAUGGACACUGAAACAACAAGAAAAAAUUUCUUCAAUACCCUUCCAAGUAGUUCUAAUUUUAUGAAUACCCUUCAAAAUUUUAAAAUUUUCAUACUUGCCCUCCAAAAGUAUGGAAAAGUUUCAAAAAUACUCUCACUGUCACUGUCAGUAAUCUGUUAUAUUAACUUCAAAAUACCAAUUUUACCCCCUAUUUUAAUUUAAUCACCACUCUCACAAUUUUUUUUUUGAAUAUAUGGAGACCCCUCAAUUACAACCCAUUAUGAAAUACCCUCCUAAAUUUAACUUUUUAAUUAAAGUCUUCUUAAAUUUUAUUUUCUUAAAUUGAAUGAUUUUUUUAUUAUUAAAUUAGAGAUUUUAUCUAAUCUAUUAAUGAUUCAAACAAAUUUAAUAAUUUUAAUAACUUCGUAGUAUAUAAAAUUAAAUAAGUUUCUGUUCAAAAAAGAAAAUUAAUAAAAACUUCAAAGAUUUACUUAAAUGACCUAUAGUUGAUAGUUUUAGUAUAAAUAUCAAAAAAUAAGUGAAAGAAGUUUGAUUUUUAAACAAAAGGGAAAACUUCAAAAAACCCCUCUGUGGUUUCGUAGUUUCUCACUUUGCUCCCCUGUAGUUUAAAAUGUAUCAAAUUGCCCCCAUAUGAUUUCGUUUUUAUCUUUUUGGUAGCUUUUUCGUUAAUAUUUCAUUAAAUUAUAUACAAAAAAAACUUCAGAUACCCAUCUAGAUUUAUCAAAUAUUCACUUUAGUACUCUUUAAAUUAACUUUAUCACUGAUUUAAGAAAAAAUAAUAAUAAAAUUGAUAAAAAAAAGAGAAAAAAGAAAUCACGGGGGGCAAAUUGAUACAUUUUAAACCACAGGGGGGCAAAGUGAGAAACUACGUAAAUACAGGGGGGUUUUUGAAGUUUUCUCUAAACAAAAAGUGAACAAAUUAAGGGCAAAAUGGUAAUUUCAUAUUUUGAAAUAAAAUAAAAAAAUGCUAUGUUGACGGAAGUUAGCAAAAAAUAACGGUGAGGCUAUUUAUGAAAGCAAUAUUAUAUUUAGAGGGGCAUUUGUGACAUUUUAAAAAUUCAAUGGGUGUUUAUGAUAUUUCAUAACUUUGUGAGGGUACAAAUGAAAUUAACCCAAACAACAAGAUCCAAAGAGCAAAUUUGAAACUGAUAAUAUUUUUAUAAUCUGUACAAUUGGAUAAAGAUUGAUCAUUGACCCAUGGGGUGUAUUUCACUAGUUACAUUGAUGUGAUUAAUUAGUAAAAUACACUUUAUUUAUUUUUAAAUAGGUGGGGUGUGUAUUCGAUACCCAAUGAAUGUAUGAGUAAGAGUUUUCUAAAAAAAAAAAAAAGAGGAGGAACAAAAAAAGCAUUGACGCGUGCGUUCCGGCCCCCACCAUAAUGAUUGGAGACACAGCACAAUAAUUGGAGCAAACAUCUUCCACUGGCGGAGAGCAUCCCCUUAUUAUCCUCUGCUUCUCUGUAGGAGGACGUUCGUAUUGAGAAGGAUUAGGCAGCAGCACGCGCGAUGGCGGAGGGGAUCGCAUUCGACUUGGUCAAAGGAGUGCUGGGCAAGCUGGGCUCCGCUCUCUGGGACGAAAUCGGGCUGCUGCGGAGCUUCAAGGACGACGCGGACGACCUCAGAAGCAACUUCUCGGCGAUACAGGCGGUGCUUCUCGACGCCGAGGAGCGAAGCAGCGCUGGGAAGGAGACCCACGCGCUGCGCGACUGGCUGCGCAAACUGAAGGACGCCGCCUACGACCUGCUGGACGAGAUCCGGACGCAACAGCAGUAUCCCGAGGUGCAGAAUCAUCAACACCAGCCAGCUGGAAAGGUACGUGGAUUUCUGUCCCGCGCUAAUCCGAUGCAUCUGAAGUUUAAGGUCAAGAUGGCGCACAGGAUGAAAGCGCUCCGAGAAAAGAUCGGUAAGAUCGCGAAACAGAGGCAUGAUUUCGGUCUUGCCGAAGCUGGCCCUGGUCGGCAGGCUGAGUUCAAACGCCCUGACACAUAUUCAGUCGUCGACGAAAAGACAAUAGUUGGGAGAGAUGGUGAUAAAGAGGAAAUUGUGAAGCUCCUGUUAGAGACGGGCGGCGAUCACGACGUGUCGGUCAUUCCGAUAGUGGGAUUGGGAGGAUUGGGGAAGACGACGCUCGCUCAGAUGGCCUUCAACGACGGGCGGGUUACGGAUCAGCAGUGCUUUGAUCUAUGGGUGUGGGUCUGCGUGUCUACUGAUUUCGACAUGAAGACGAUUGCAAAGCCGGUGAUAUCUGCAGCCGGAGAGAAUUGUGCUCUUGAUAACUCGGAUGCCGUCGCCAGUUGUCUUGUUAGGAUCUUUAGCCAGAAGAGAUUUUUGCUGGUGCUGGACGAUGUAUGGAACGAAGAUCAGGAAAAGUGGGAGAAUUUGAAGGUCUUAUUUAAGGACAGCAAGAAGGGAAGUAAAAUUUUAGUCACCACGCGGAGCAAGAAGGUUGCCACGAUAAUGAAAACAGUCGAACCACACCAUGUGAAAGUCUUAUCAGAUGAUGAUUGUUGGACAUUGUUCAAAAGACGGGCAUUCGAGAAAGGGGAAGAGAACGACUAUCCGAGUUUGGUGGAAAUUGGAAAGCAGAUAGUAGAGAAGUGUGGUGGCUUGCCUUUAGCAGCAAAUGCCUUAGGAAGUAUGAUGCGCUUUAAGAGGACAGAGAAUGAAUGGUCCGCUACUAGAGAUAGCGAAAUAUGGAGGUUGGAAGAAGGAACUAUUUUACCAUCAUUAAAAUUGAGCUACAUUCAGAUGCCGUCGGCUUUGAAGCAGUGCUUUGCUUACUGCUCCAUUUUCCCCAAAGACUAUGAGAUUGACAAGGAUGACUUGAUCCGGCAGUGGAUUGCUUUAGGCUUCAUUUCAUCGCAUGAAACAUGGACUUCGAUGGAAGAUAUCGGGAAUGAGUACUUUAACGAUCUAUUAUGGAUGUCUUUCCUUCAGGACGUGGAGGAGAAUUAUAGAGGGGUCACCUGCUGCCGGAUGCAUGAUUUAGUGCACGACCUCGCACAAUCUGUGGCAAAAGAAGAAGUUGCUGUUAUAAGUGCAGAAGAGUCAGCAAGGAUCCCAGAAGGUUGCCGCUAUGCAUCAAUACACAGUCGUUUCACGCCACAGGUUUCAAUUACCGUAAUGCAAAGGUUGCGAGCUCUUCAAUUUAGGGAAUCUGGUUCACCUAUUAUGACUCUUUAUAGCGAGGCAAAAUGGUUACGCCUGUUGGAUUUACAUGAUUCCAAAAUUUCUAUGUUGNAAAGCAUUGGCGCGUGCGUUCCGGCCCCCACCAUAAUUAUUGGAGACACAGCACAAUAAUUGGAGCAAUCAUCUUCCACUGGUGGAGGAGCAUCCCCUUAUCAUCCUCUGCUUCUCUGUAGUAGGACGUUCGUAUUGAGAAGGAUUAGGCAGCAGCACGCGCGCGCGAUGGCGGAGGGGAUCGCAUUCGAAUUGGUGACGGGAGUGCUGGGCAAGCUGGGCUCCGCUCUCGGGGACGAAAUCGGGCUGCUGCGGAGCUUCAAGGACGACGCGGACGACCUCCGAAGCAACUUCUCUGCGAUCCAGGCGGUGCUUCUCGACGCCGAGGAGCGAAGCAGCGCUGGGAAGGAGAGCCACGCUCUGCGCGACUGGCUGCGCAAACUGAAGGACGCCGCCUACGACGCCGACGACCUGCUGGACGAGAUCCGGACGCAACAGCAGUACCCCGAGGUGCAGAAUCAUCAACACCAGCCAGCUGGAAAGGUACGUGGAUUUCUGUCCCGCGCUAAUCCGAUGCAUCUGAAGUUUAAGGUCAAGAUGGCGCACAGGAUGAAAGCGCUCAGAGAAAAGAUCGGUAAGAUCGCGAAACAGAGGCAUGAUUUCGGUCUUGCCGAAGCUGGCCCUCUUGGACAGGCUGAGUUCAAGCGCCCUGAGACAUUCUCGGUCGUCGACGAAAAGACAAUAGUGGGGAGAGAUGGUGAUAAAGAGGAAAUUGUGAACCUUCUCCUAGAGACUAACAGCGAUCACGACGUGUCGGUCAUUCCGAUCGUGGGAUUGGGGGGAUUGGGGAAGACGACGCUUGCUCAGCUGGCCUACAACGACGAGCGGGUUACGGACGAGCUGGUUACGGGCCAGAAGCGCUUUGAUCUACGGGUGUGGGUCUGCGUGUCUACCGAUUUCCACAUGAAGACGAUUGCAAAGCCGGUGAUAUCUGCAGCUGGAGAAAAUUGUGCUCUUGAUAACUCGGAUGCCGUUGCCACUUGCCUUGUCAGGAUCUUUAGCCAGAAGAGAUUUUUGCUGGUGCUGGAUGAUGUAUGGAACGAAGAUCAGAAUAAGUGGAAGGAAUUGAAUGUUGUAUUUAAGAACAGCAAGAAGGGAAGUAAAGUCUUAGUGACCACGCGGAGCGAAAAGGUUGCCGAGAUAAUGAAAACAGUCAAACCGCACCGUGUGAAAGGCUUAUCAGAUGAUGAUUGUUGGACAUUGUUCAAAAGACGGGUAUUCGAUGAUGGGGAAGAGAACUACUAUCCGAGUUUGGUCGCAAUCGGAAAGCAGAUAGUUAAGAAGUGCGGCGGUGUGCCGUUAGCAGCAAAUGCUUUAGGAAGUAUGAUGCGCUUUAAGAGCAGGACAGAGGAUGCAUGGUCCGCUAUUAGAGAUAGCGAAAUUUGGAGUCUGAAAGAAGAGAAAACUAUUUUACCAUCGUUAAAGUUGAGCUACAUUCAGAUGCCGUCGGCUUUGAAGCAGUGCUUUUGUGACGCCCCAACUUCCCAGGAGGUCACCCAUCCUAGGACUACUCCCGUCCUAGCACGCUUAACUCUCUUAACCUCUUAGGCCUUGCUACCACCCAAAAUGCUUAAGCUGGGUUAAGAGUUUAGCCCUAUUAUAUCUUGUAUAUAGGACUACCCGGGGUCUCACAGCUUUGCUUACUGCUCCAUAUUCCCCAAAGACUAUGAGAUUGACAAGGAUGACUUGAUCCGGCAAUGGAUUGCUUUAGGCUUCAUUUCAUCGCAUGAAACAUGGACUUCGACGGAAGAUAUUGGGAAUGAGUACUUUAACAAUCUAUUAUGGAUGUCUUUCCUUCAAGACGUGAAGGAAAAUUAUAGAAAGGUUACCACCUGUCGGAUGCAUGAUUUAGUGCACGACCUCGCACAAUCUGUAGCAAGAGAAGAAGUUGCUGCUAUAGUUGGAAAAGAGUCAACAGGGUUCCCGGAAGGUUGUCGCUAUGCAUCAAUACACAGUAGUUUCAUGCCACAGAUUCCAACCACAGUAGUGCGGAGGUUGCGAGCUCUUCAAUUUAGGAAAUCUGGUUCACUUAUUAUGGAUUUUUAUAGCGAUGCAAAAUGCUUAUGCCUGUUGGAUUUACAUGGUUCCAAAAUUUCUAUGCUGCCAAGCUCAAUCGGUAAGUUGAAGCUCAUANUAAGAUACCUCAACCUUUCGAAGAACAGUAUACAAGAAUUGCCUGAAUCAACUACCAGCCUCUGCAACUUGCAAACCUUGAAUCUUUCACGCUGCCGCGAGAUCCGUACAUUACCCAAAUUUCUAGGAAGGCUUACGAAUUUGCGGAUUUUAGAUUUAGGAGGUUGCCUAUCUCUGACAAUACUGGACUCCAUUAGCAACCUUCAGAAUUUGUACACACUAGAUUUGAGUUGGUGCCAAAAGGUGAUAUCACUUGAACCUAUAUGUCACCUCAAAAACCUGCAUGACUUAAACCUAUCAUGUCUAAAAUCUUUGGUGGCAUUACCUGAAUCCAUUGGGAGCCUUCAAAACUUGCGUAUUCUGAACCUUUCUUGGUGCUAUUCCCUACUAUCAUUACCCUCAUCGUUAUGUCACCUCAAAAACCUGCAUAGGUGCUCUUCUCUAGAAUCGUUACCCUCAUCGUUAUGUCACCUCAAAAACCUGCAUCACUUAAACCUAUCGUGUCUAAAUUCUUUGGUGGCAUUACCUGAAUCCAUUGGGAGCCUUCAAAACUUGCAUAUUCUGAACGUUUCUGAAUGCUCGUCUCUAGAAUCAUUACCCUCAUCGUCAAGUGAUCUUCAGCAUUUAGAGAAACUCGACAUCCGUGAUUGUGGAAAAUUAUGUGAGCUGCCUAAAAUGAUCCAAAAGCUGACCAAACUUAGAGUCUUGUUAAACAACAAUUGCUCGGAAUUGAAGGGCAUGCCCCGAGGGAUCGGCAAGUUAGUUAGCUUGCAGGAAUUGUCCGUUUUUGUCGUCGGCAAGCAAGACCGCGUCGAACAUUGUGCCAGCAUCUCUGAGCUAGAGCACUUGAAGCUUGUCGGCCAGCUGCGGAUCAAGGGUCUCGAGAAUGUGACGAGUCCGGUUGAUGCCAAGGCUGCAAAUUUGAUAGAGAAGAACCUGCGGUCUUUGAAGUUGGAAUGGAACGUUUUAAGCGCAGAAGAAGCCGUGUUAGAAAAUCUUCAACCACAUCAAAAGCUAGAGAAUUUGGAAAUAGGAGGCUAUGGAGGCGGGAAGUUUCCUAGCUGGAUGAUGAACAGGAUUGGCUCGUGCCUCCCAAAUCUCGUUAAAAUCAAACUAGCGAAUAUGCCCGGAUGCAGCUCACUUCCGCAGCUGGGGCAACUUCCUUUUCUUGAAGAACUGACUAUACGAAACAUGCCCGCGGUAACAAAUUUGGGCGUAGAUAAGUUCCCUGCGCUGACGACACUUGAGUUGUCCUCCAUGCCGGAGCUGCGAGAAUGGGUGACUGUGUUGACGGUGGAUGACGAAGAAGGCAGGCGAGAGCGAGUUCCCAUUUUUCCGCGUCUCACUCAAUUGUGGCUUAAAGGAUGUCCUCAAUUGAGGCCGGAGCCUUGCGUCCCGCCAUCGGUUAAGUAUCUGACCAUUUCUAGAGCAAGCAAGGAGAAUCUAUCGUUGAUACUCGAACGCGCGAUGCCAUUUGGAGGCGGUGAUGCCGCCGUUUCACCCCAACCGCCACCAGAUAAGGGGCUGCGGGAUCUAGUAAUAAACGAAUGUCAGCAGCUUACCUGUUUGCCCGAGAGCUUGCGGGGUCUCACGUCCCUCCAGCGGCUGAGAAUAUCUGAUUGUGAAGAUCUUGAGAGAAUUGAAGAUUGGCUCGGGGAGCUCUCCGACCUGCAGUCCUUGGAGAUCUGGGAGUGCAGCAGUCUCCGUUACUUGCCUGCGCACAAGAUGACCACACUUCAGGAGUUAGAUAUUAACAAGUGCCCCCUGUUGUUCGAUGCGGACGGACGAUUUGUCGACACCAGUGUCGAUCACAUCAAAAAUGUCGAAGUUGAUGGGAGGUAAUUAAUUUGGAACUCUGACUACUCUUUAAUUAAUGAGCUAGCACCUUAAUAUUCUAUUGUAGCUAGCAUGAACAUCUCGGUUUUUUUUUUNCUCUGCAACUUGCAAGCCUUGAAUCUUUCAGGCUGCCGUGAGAUCCGUACAUUACCCAAAUUUCUAGGAAGGCUUACGAAUUUGCGGAUUUUAGAUUUAAGGGAUUGCCCAUCUCUGACAAUACCUGACUCCAUUAGCAACCUGCAGAAUUUGUAUGCACUAAAUUUGAGUUUGUGCAAAAACGUGAUAUCACUUGAACCUAUAUGUCACCUCAAAAACCUGCAUUACCUAGACCUAUCAUAUCUAGAUUCUUUGGUGGCAUUACCUGAAUCCAUUGGAAGCCUUCAAAAUUUGCGUGGUCUCAACCUUUCUAGCUGCUCUUCUCUAGAAUGGUUACCCUCAUCAUUAUGUCACCUCAAAAACCUGCAUCUCUUAAACCUAUCAAAUCUAGAAUCUUUGGUGGCAUUACCUGAAUGCAUUGGGAGCCUUCAAAACUUGCGUAUUUUGAGCCUUUUUGGCUGCUCUUCUCUAAAAUCAUUACCCUCAUCAUUAUGUGAUCUCAAAAACCUGCAUGACUUAAACCUAUCACGUCUAAAAUCUUUGGUGGCAUUACCUGAAUCCAUUGGGAGCCUUCAAAACUUGCGUAUUCUGAAUGUUUCUAAAUGCUAUUCUCUACUAUCGUUACCCUCAUCGUCAAGUGAUCUUCAGCAUUUAGAGAAACUCGACAUCAGUGGUUGUAAAAAAUUAUGUGAGCUGCCUAAAAUGAUCCGAAAGCUGACCAAACUUAGGGUCUUGUUAAACAACAAGUGCUCAGAAUUGAAGGGCAUGCCCCGAGGGAUCAGCAAGUUAGUUAGCUUGCAGGAAUUGUCCGUUUUUGUCGUCGGCAAGCAAGACCGCGUGGAACAUUGUGCCAGCAUCUCUGAGCUCGAGCACCUUAAGCUUGUCGGCGAGCUGGAGAUCAAGGGUCUUGAAAAUGUGACGAGUCCGGUUCAUGCCAAGGCUGCAAAUUUGAUAGAGAAGAACCUGCGGAAUUUGAAGUUGGAAUGGAAAGUUUUAAGUGCGGAAGAAGGCACGGAUAGUACUGUACUACCGGUGGAAGAGAUCGAAACCGUGCUUGAAAAUCUUCAACCACAUCAAAAGCUAGAGAAUUUGAAAAUAGAAGGCUAUGGAGGCGGGAAGUUUCCUAGCUGGAUGAUGAAUAGGAUUGGCUCGUGCCUCCCUAAUCUACUUCAAAUCGAACUAGCGGAUAUGCCCGGAUGCAGCUCACUUCCGCAGCUGGGGCAACUUCCUUUUCUUAAAGAACUAACUAUACGAAAUAUGCCCGCAGUAACAAAUUUGGGGGUAGAUAAGUUCCCUGCGCUGACGAGACUUGACUUGUCCUCCAUGCCGGUGCUGCGAGAAUGGGUGACUGUGUUGACGGUGGACGACGAAGAAGGCAGGCGAGAGCGAGUUCCCAUUUUUCCGCGUCUCACUGGAUUGUGGCUUAAAGAAUGUCCUCAGUUGAGGCCGGAGCCUUGCCUGCCGCCAUCGGUUUUGAUUAUGAUCAUUUCUAGAACAAGCAGCGAGAAUCUAUCGUUAAUUCUCGAACGCGCGACGCCAUUUGGUGAUGGUAAUGCCGCCGUUUCACACCAACCGCCACCAGAUAAGGGGCUGCAGGAUCUAGUAAUAAACGAAUGUCAGCAGCUAACUUGUUUGCCCGAGAGCUUGCGGGGUCUCACGUCCCUCCAGCGCCUGGACAUAUGGGGUUGCCAUGAUCUUGGGAGAAUUGAAGAUUGGCUCGGGGAGCUCUCCGACCUGCAGUCCUUGACCAUCUCGAAGUGCCGCAGUCUCCGUUACUUGCCUGCCCGCAAGAUGGCCGCACUUCAGAUGUUAUCUAUCGGGAAUUGCCCGCUGUUGUUCGAUGCAGACGGACAAUUUGUCGACACCAGUGUCGAUCACAUCAAAGAAGUCUAUGUUAAUGGAAGGUAAUUAAUUUGGAACUCUGACUACUCUUUAAUUAAUUAGCUGGCUAGCACCUAAAUAUUAAUUCUAUCGUAGCUAGCAUAAACAUCUCUUUUUCUUUUUCUUUUUUUUUUCUAAAUAUUCGGAUGGAAAACUUUCAAUUAGCCCCACCGCACCUGAUUCAGAGCAUUUUCGUUUGCUAUGAAAUAUUUCAUUUUGCUAUUUUAUAGUUUUGUUUUUAUUUUCUUGCAAAAAUCUUCUACAAGAAAGAAAAAAGAAACAAAUUAAAGUGCUAAAAUGUAUGAAUUAUAAGGCUGUCAAUUAAUUUAUUUUACAAACCACAUAGGGACUGUGUGAAAUAUAUAUAUAUAAUCAUUUUAGUAUUUUAUGGUUUAUAAAUUUAUCACUUUAAUACUCCACUUUAAUUACUUGAGAUUGGAUAUAAUCAUAGGAUUUUCAAGUAAAACUAUUUAAAACGUAGUGUGGCAAAAAGAAAACACAUUAAACUACAUUUCAAUAUCAAAAGUGCAAUUAAGAUAUUCGAAAACAUGGUUGGUUUUCUGGAAAAAUUUUCAAGUGGUCUCUUGCAUGUGCAUAGACUAAUUAAUGAAAUUUUAAUCUUUUCUUAAUUUGUAGCGAUUUGAGAUGCCAGAAAAUUUCUACUUGAACGAUAUAUAGUAUUUACAAAGUAAUUAUUUUCAGUGAUAUUGUUGAUAUACUAUUUGAGUCCUUGGAUAUUUUUUUUUACAAAUUGAAAUUAGGUAUCUUAUAUAUCAUACAUUAUUAAAAUGUCUAAGCAAAAUGUCCAGCACAUGUUGCACGAGCGUCGGAUAAAAAAUAACCAUUUUGUGUUGUUGUGUUGUAGUUCUUACCGGUACAAGAAACAAGCGAGCAGCUCACCACAGGAGGAAGAGAGCUCAGCGAAGGAGGAGAAGAAGAUUGGUUAGCGAGNGAAAAAUUUCUACUUGAACGAUAUAUAGUAUUUACAAAGUAACUAUUUUUGGUCAUAUUGUUGAUAUAUUAUUCAAGUCCUGGAAUAUUUUUCUUUAUAAAUUGAAAUCAGGUAUGUUAUAUAUCAUACGUUAUUAGAAAGUCUAAGCAAAAUGUGCAGCACAUAUAUACUGCACGAGCGUCGAAUAAAAAAGUAACUAUUUUGUGUUGUUGUGGUGUAGAAAAUACCCGUACAAGGAACAAGCGAGCAGCUCGCCACAUGUGGAAGAGAGCUCACCGAAGGAGGAGGAGGAGAAGAAGAUUGGUUAGCGAGGAGAGCAUAAGUAUAUGUACCUAUUAUUUGGAGGUAAAAAGAUAUUAGAUAUUAUCUAAACUAUACUGCACUUUGAAAGCGGCCAAUUGGGCUUUACGAAAUUCGAUUUUAAUUCGAUUUUGACAUAAGAAAUUUUCUUUGAAAGAUUUGUUAGAUCCUUUUAGAAUUUAGUCUCUUCCGUUAAACAAAGUGCAGAAUGUUUCAUAAAAUAACAAAAUAUUUUUUUUAUCAAAUUUUAAAAUAUUUUAUCAAAAAAUGUUAAGUAACCUUUCAAAUUCUCUAUGGAACAUAAUAAACACGGCGGAAAGUUAGAGAGUAGAAUUAAAUUUUUUAAAGUUCNAUAUAUAUAUAUAUAUAUAUAUAUAUAUAUAAUUGAGCCAGAAUACUGUUAAAAGAACCAACCCCUUGGUACUUUUGAGUUUCUAGCCCUUGGAUCUACUCCUUGAUUAUUAAUAAUCUUUGAAUCAAACACUAUUCCACCUACCACCACUUACCACCAUCAUCUCAACCCUACAUCUUUCCAUUCAAUAGCUAAAAACUCAAAAGCACCAAUCCCUUGGUGCUUUUGAGAGUAUUCUAGUUCAACUCUUCCUCUCUCUCUCUCUCUCUCUCUCUCUAUAUAUAUAUAUAUAUUAGUAUUUUAUGGUUUAUAAAUUUUAGCACUUUAGUACUCUACUCUACUUUAGAUAGGUUCUUAUGAUCGUAUAUAAUUAAAAAAAAAAUCCAUAGGAUUUUCAAGUAAAACUAUUUAAAACGUAUGGCGGCAAAAUGAAAACGGGUUAAACCACAUUUCAAUAUCAAAAGUGCAGUUAAGAUAUUCGAAAACAUGGUUGGUUUUCUGGAAAAAAAUUCAAGUGGUCUCUUGCAUGUACAUAGAGUAAUUAAUGAAAUUUUAACCUUUUCUUAAUUUGUAGCGAUUUGAGAUGCUGGAAAAUUUCUACUUGAACGAUAUAUAGUAUUUACAAAGUAAUUAUUUUCGGUCAUAUUGUUAAUACACUAUUCAAGUUCUGGGAUAUUUUUCUUUACAAAUUGAAAUCAGCUAUGUUAUAUAUCAUACGUUAUUAGAAAGUCUAACCAAAAUGUACAAUACAUAUAUGCUGCACGAGCGUCGGAUAAAAAAGUAAUCAUUUUGUGUUGUUGUGCUGUAGAAAAUACCCGUACAAGGAACAAGCGAGCAGCUCACCACAUGUGGAAAAGAGCUCACCGAAGGAGGAGAAGGAGAAGAAGAUUGGUUAGCGAGGAGAGCAUAAGUAUAUAUACCUAUUAUUUGGAGGUAAAAGGAUAUUAGAUAUUAUAUCUAUACUAUACUGCACUUUGAAAGUGGCCAAUUGGGCUUUAUGAAUUUUGAUAUUAAUUCGAUUUUAAUUCAAUUUUGAUAUAAGAAAUUUUCUUUGAAAGAUUUGUUAGAUCUUUUUAGAAUUUAGUCUCUUCCGUUAAACAAAGUGCAGAAUGUUUCAUAAAAUAAAAAAUAAUUUUUUAAUCAAAUUUUAAAAUAUUUUAUCAAAAAAUGUUAAGUAUCUCAAAGGACCAUAAUAAGCACUGCGGAAAGUUAGAGAGUAGAAUUAAAUUUUUUAAAGUUCAGUUAUUUAUCUCAAAGCGUAGUAUAGCUCACGUAAGAAUCAUUCUCUUUUAGCUUAUUUGGUGAUCACUAUUCCCCUUUGAGAAGAGUUUUCUUUUUCCCUUUGUUUUGCCAAAAAUAAACAAAUUUUAUAUAUCUACAUGCAAUGGUGACAGUUUUUAUUCAUAAACUUGUGGCCUUCUCUUUCAAGUUGGUGCUAUUUAGCUUUCCGGACAAGAAUUGUAGUGUGCUGUUGUCGGGUUAAUAUAUAUUUGUGUUUUCGUGAUAUAAAUUUAGUUUCGGAAUGUACUAUUUUAUAAUUUGGUUUGAUUGUUGGUAAUUUUAUGGUGUUCUCUAUAUAUGUUAUGGGCUUGAAAAAGAUUGUUUGGUUUGAAUAAACAAAAUGUUGCUACUUUUUUAAUACGGAUAUUAGAGGGUACAUUAAUUUUUAAGUAAAUCUCACGUAGAGUUUAUUACUAGCUAGUAUAUAUGCAUUGUGUUACGAACUUGUUUAAAAUCAGAUGCUGUUUUUGGCAUGCAAGUUGAAGCUAGUAUAUAUGUAUGUACCGCAGUUGAGAGGGUUAAUUUCCAUCUAUGUUUACUUUAAUUUAUCUUUUCUUUUAUUUGAUUAGAUCCGAAUUAAGCCGAUAAAUUUUAAAGUAUUAAAAGUUUUAUUAUUUUGCUUUCUGCAAGAUUUUUAGUUUUUAAAUUCNUGAAGUACUAAAAUUUUAUUAAUUUUCUUUUCGCAAGAUUUUUAGUUUUUAAUUCCCCAAAUUCGAAAUCAAUUUAUUACUAAAAUCAAACUUGAGGUGCUUUUCCCAUUUGGUUUUCACGAAACGUGUGGUUUAAAUGGGAAUAUAGAUUUAUGUUGCCGCACAAUUUAAUUUAUUUGAUUUAAGCGAUUUGAUUACUUUUUUAAUAUAAAAUUUAGAAUAAUUAUUUAUUUCAAUAAAUUUAUAUUUGCAUAAUUAAAAAUAUAUUUAAAAUUUUAAAGUCAAAGAGUCAUUAGUUGAUUUAAAUCAAAUAAAUUAAAAGAUUAUAUAGCAAAAUUAAAAUUUUUAAAGAUUAGAUAAUCAGAUUAAAAGAACUGACAGUCGGGGCGAGUUAUAUAAAUUUUUGACUUUUUUAUCCAAGAAAUCUGGAAAAUUAAAAGAGGUAUUUACUUCAAAAUAUGUUAAACUAUUAUUAUUAUUAUUAUUAUUAUUAUUUUACCAUAAAGCAUUUUCGAGAACCUAACAUUUGGGACCAACCGUAAAAAUAAUAAGAAAAAUUGUGCGAAAUUAACUGAAAAUUUAUUUUAUUGAAAAUCUCACCGUGAAUUUUUUUUUUUAUUGUCUAUUCUUUCUGAUUUGAGUUUGCUUUUCUUCUUCUUUUUUUUUGGGAAAAUGCAGUAUGCAUAAUUGAUCCUUGAUUUAUACUAUAGUUUCAGCUUAACAACUGGAAAAAAAAAUGCUAUAAAAAUUAAAUAUGUGGAUAAAAUAUUAAGGUAUCGCAUAAAUAUAACCGCAUAGUUCUUCAAUAACAAUUAAGCACAAUUUUAUAGCUUCGGACGAGAAAAGAUUAGAAGCAGUUUUAAAAUUUUUGGACCUUUCAAAAUAUGAAAAUGUUGCUUCUUACCACUACGUUCCUAAAGAAAGUUGGGUUAGUUGCAAUUUUUUAUACUUACGAAUUAAAUGAAUGAAAUACAAUAAAAAGAAAAUAUUAAGGAUGAAUAAAACCUUGGUGCAUCACCUGUUUGGAUGCACCAGGUGUAGGCAGUGAUUUUUCAUAAAACGAAAUCGUAAAGCGUUAAAGAAUAGGUAGUCAAAUUAAUUUAAAUUUUUAAAUAUUAGAUAAUUAAUUUCAAAUUAUAAAAGUUCAGAUUAAUUAAGUACAUUUUUAUACCCAAAAAUUAAACACAGCAACAACAACAACAACAUGACCACUGCAAAGAGGGGUCUUUCUUUCUCAUAAAGAACAGGGCAUCCCGUGCACCAAGAUACGAAUUUGGUUGAUCAAGAGAGAAAAUUUUGGCUCUCCAAUAGAUAGAACAAAAACUUGCUGCAUACAAUUGUGGAGCAAAGCCUUUUUUAAAAUAAAAAAGGUGAUAAAACCUUAAUUAGCAAGAGAUGUUUUAUGUACGAAAUUAUUUUUAUUUUUAUUUUUUAAGAGAUAGGUAGCACGCCACCUACUUCGUUUAUUUCAUUUAGAAAUAAACUUAGCUGAAAAUAUGAAUCAACUAGGAUUCGAACUUGGGUCUCGGGUACUAACCACUAAGCCCUUUGCCACUUGCUUUAGGAACGGUCGGUUAUGUACGAUAAAUUAACAAGUGCAUUUAUGUAUGGUAACUUGGUAACGGUUAUACCUUCCUACUUGUACUGUUUGGAUUCAUUAGUGAUAUUUGCAGUUUGUUAUGAAUGCAUUAAGCAGUGCAAUGUGUACGUAUGCUUCAAAAGCUAGGUGUUUCGCCAAAUAAUUAAUCGAAUGGUUUAAGCUAGGUGUGUUGCCCAAAGAUUCAAAUAAAUGGUUCAAGUUAGGGGUUUUUUAAAAAAAUUCUUGUUAAGUAUUGGAUGGAUCUUUGCUUCAAUCUGAGCAGUUUUGGAGUUAACAGCUUGUUUUGGAUACUCUCUAAUACUAUUUUUUGAAAUAGAGUUGUUACUGUUAAGUGUUAAAUAUAAAAAUGUUUAAAUACCGUUUUCUAACAAUUUAAGCUUUUAGAGUACAACGGUUAUUUCACAUGGUAUCAGAGCAGGAGGUUCUAAGUUCGAGUCACGCUAGGCUCCUAGCAUAUUAAUUUUCUUCCAUUUAAUUCAAGCCCACGUCAUGGGCCGAUUAAAAAGUUUUGAGCCCAGACGUGAGGGGGAGUGUUAAGUGUUAAAUAUAAAAAUGUUUAAACACCGUUCUCUAAGUACAACGGUUGUUUCACAGUUACUACAGUUACUCCUCUUGUUGAUG